UACGUAGGGUGCGAGCGUCAAUCGGAAUUACUGGGCGUAAAGCGCGCGUAGGCGGUUUGGUAAGUCGAUUGUGAAAUCCCUGGGCUCAACCUGGGAACUGCAGUCGAGACUGCCAGACUAGAGUGUGGGAGAGGGUGGUGGAAUUCCCGGUGUAGCGGUGAAAUGCGUAGAUAUCGGGAGAAACAUCAGUGGCGAAGGCGACCGCCUGGCCCAACACUGACGCUGAGGUGCGAAAGCGUGGGUAGCAAACAGG
rnacentral:rRNA from 1 species